CUCCAACUAGACCUCCCCCUUUCUCAAAGUUCUGCUACUGCAAGCAGACAGCUUGUCUCCCUGCUGGGAUAGCAGCCAGGGACUCCACUCUCCUGUGGAUGACUACAGCCAGCAGGCUCCCAGAGGAGCCCAGCUCAGCCUCAGCUCUCACCUGUGUGUGCUGCCUUUUUGUUUCUCCUCUCUCUAAACUGAAGCCUGAGACAGAACCAGUGUCUGGUUAGAGGGUCGGGGCCCUAGAAGUCGUUUCCUUUUUACUCAUCAACCCCAAACUGUGGGUGGGCAGAGGUCCUGGAGAGGAGCCUGAAGUCCACACAGGUGCUCCCAGGGCUUGCUGCCUGCAGACUCCACCAGUAUCCAGUGUCUGCUACUGGGAUAUAGACUUCCAAAUCAAGCAGAUAAGGAAAAUCUCCACAUUUUCUCAGAAUAGCUCACUGAGAACCUUGGAAGAUGGGACAGAAGAGGACAGCCCAAAUUCAGGUGGAGUGAUGCUCUGUAAUGAGUAGAACCACAGGCAGAACACCCCUGCUGAGAGCCAUCAGGCCAUGAUGUAUUGACAUGGUCACUUGUGGAAGCCAGAAGAUCACAAAGUGGCUCCUUGGCAGAAUGGAAUCAUCCACUCAGCCCCCUCUAUGAUGAAAUGGGAACUCAAAAGAGAAGUGAUUCGCCUAAGGUCAUCCAGUUCCUGAGCAGCAAAGAAAGGACUAGAGUCCAAACCUUCAGAUUAGUCAUGGAAGUUCAAUGUUGAGACAAAAGUCAAGACAUCUGGCAAUGGCUCAGGAUG
rnacentral:lncRNA from 1 species